GACGAACGCUGGCGGCGUGCUUAACACAUGCAAGUCGAACGGGCCCGCUCCCUUUUUUGGGGGUGGGUUGAGUGGCGAACGGGUGAGUAUCACGUGAGUAACCUGCCCCCUGCUCCUGGAUAACUGCUUGAAAGGGCGGCUAAUACGGGGUGUGCCGGCUGGUCCGCAUGGGCCUGGUCGGGAUAGUUUCAUCUUCGGGUGUUUCGGUGGGGGAUGGGCUCGCGGCCUAUCAGCUUGUUGGUGGGGUGAUGGCCCACCAAGGCGGUGACGGGUAGCCGGCCUGAGAGGGUGGGCGGCCACACUGGGACUGAGACACGGCCCAGACUCCUGCGGGAGGCAGCAGUGGGGGGUAUUGCGCAAUGGGCGGAAGCCUGAUGCAGCGACGUCGCGUGAGGGAUGGAGGCCUUCGGGUGGUGAACCUCUUUCUCCGGUGGUGAAGGCCCUGUCCGUUGCGGCGGGGUUGACGGUAGCCGGGUAUGAAGCGCCGGCUAACUACGUG
rnacentral:rRNA from 1 species